GAUGAACGCUGGCGGCGUGCCUAAUACAUGCAAGUCGAGCGAACACACGAGGAGCUUGCUCCCCUGCCGUUAGCGGCGGACGGGUGAGUAACACGUGGAUCACCUACUUCUAAUACUGGGAUAACUUCGUAAAACAAGAUCUACUACUAGCUCAUAUAUUGAACCGCAUAGUUCAAUAGUGCUUGACGCUUUUCCCGUCUCUUUUAGCUGGUUCCGCGCUGGAUUAGCUAGUUGGUAAGGUAACGGCUCACCAAGGCAACGAAGCGUAGCCGAGCUGAGAGGGUGAUCGGCCACACUGGAACUGAGACACGGUCCAGACUCCUACGGGAGGCAGCAGUAGGGAAUCUUCGGCAAUGGGCGAAAGCUUGACGGAGCAAUGCCGCGUGAGUGAAGAAGGCCUUCGGAUUGUAAAACUCUGUUAUUAGGAAAGAAAAAAUGUAUAAGAAACUAUGCACGUUUUGACGGUACCUAAUGAGAAAGCCACGGCUAACUACGUG
rnacentral:rRNA from 1 species